rnacentral:sRNA from 1 species
GCUGGGCGUGGUGGUGCACGCCUGUAAUCCCAGCUACUCAGGAGGCUGAGGCGGGAGAAUCACUUGAACUCAGGAGGCCGAGGCUGCAGUGAGCCAAGAUCACGCCACUGCACUCCAGCCUGAGUGACAGAGGGAGGCUCCAUCUCAA